rnacentral:rRNA from 1 species
GACGAACGCUAGCGGCGUGCCUAAGCUAUGCAAGUCGAGCGGGGUUUCAGAGUCGAGUUUCCUUCGGGAGACAAAGCACUGAAACCUAGCGGCGAACGGGUGAGUAACACGUGAGCAACCUACCCUGUUGUCCGGGAUAACAGACCAAAAGGCCUGCUAAUACCGGAUACGAAGCUCCUUCGCAUGUUGGAGCUUGGAAAGGGGCAACCCGCAAUAGGAGGGGCUUACGGCCUAUCAGCUAGUUGGUGAGGUAACGGCCCACCAAGGCGACGACGGGUAGCCGACCUGAGAGGGUGACCGGCCACACUGGGACUGAGACACGGCCCAGACUCCUACGGGAGGCAGCAAGCGGGAAUCUUGCACAAUGGGCGCAAGCCUGAUGCAGCGACGCCGCGUGAGGGAUGAAGGCCUUCGGGUCGUAAACCUCUGUUGAUGGGGACGAAGAUC